GGUUUCACUAUUCUCAGUUCGUUUAUGCCAGGCUUGGUCAAGACUAUGCUACAAAAUGGCCUGAAGUGGUGGCUGACUACUACUGCUAUUUCCAUGUUGUUCUUUUAAACUCCACUUCUCGAUUAUAGGCACCUUUUUGUUAAACAACUCCACUUCUAUGUUGUAGGUACCUUAUAGGCAACGGAUGCAGGGUAAAGAGAGUUGCCAUACGUUUUUACGAGCAGAAUUGUGGCAUGCUUUAUUCAAGAUCUGCUGCAGUCAGUAAAUAUUUGUAUGGUCUGCAAUUCUGCAUACUGCUAAAGGAUUUACAACUGAGCACUGUACUCGGAGAAAAUUGACAAGGUAUUUUCU
rnacentral:lncRNA from 1 species